GACGAACGCUGGCGGCGUGCCUAAUACAUGCAAGUUGAGCGCUGAAGGUUGGUACUUGUACCAACUGGAUGAGCAGCGAACGGGUGAGUAACGCGUGGGGAAUCUGCCUUUGAGCGGGGGACAACAUUUGGAAACGAAUGCUAAUACCGCAUAAAAACUUUAAACACAAGUUUUAAGUUUGAAAGAUGCAAUUGCAUCACUCAAAGAUGAUCCCGCGUUGUAUUAGCUAGUUGGUGAGGUAAAGGCUCACCAAGGCGAUGAUACAUAGCCGACCUGGGAGGGUGAUCGGCCAAAAUGGGAAGGAGACACGGCCCAAACUCCUACGGGAGGCAGCAGUAGGGAAUCUUCGGCAAUGGACGAAAGUCUGACCGAGCAACGCCGCGUGAGUGAAGAAGGUUGUCGGAUCGUAAAACUCUGUAGGUAGAGAAGAACGUUGGUGAGAGUGGAAAGCUCAUCAAGUGACGGUAACUACACAGAAAGGGACGGCUAACUACGUG
rnacentral:rRNA from 1 species